CUCGCAUCUUUUGAACCACCAAAUGCGUUGUUUUAUAUUAUUUCCUGCACUACCUCUUUGAUUAGGCCUAUCAUCUGAUCUUGUCCAAGUUAUCGGAUGGAAAAGCCCCAACAACUCGUCAUGGACAAAAAGGAGAGCGCCCUGCCGUCCAAACCAAGUGGUAAGAGAGAAGAGCAGGCCCAGAGUGUGCGUACACCGGAUAGAGAUGCUGAUCUCCUUCUCCUUUGUUUACAUCAAUCAUAAUAAUAUUAAAAUCCUGCAUUGGGUGUUGUGG
rnacentral:lncRNA from 1 species